rnacentral:ncRNA from 1 species
UGACCUCGGAUCAGACGUGAUUACCCGCUGAAUUUAAGCAUAUUAUUAAGCGGAGGAAAAGAAACUAACAAGGAUUCCCCUAGUAACGGCGAGUGAACGGGGAAGAGCCCAACACCGAAUCCCUUGGCGCAAGUCAACGGGAAAUGUGGUGUUAAGGUAGCCCUUCGUGUCAGUCUAGGCGUCUCAAGUCCACCUGAUUGUGGCUCAAGCCCAGAGAGGGUGUAAGGCCCGUAGAGACGCUCCGACUGAUUCCUGGGGUUUACCUACGAGUCGGCUUGUUUGGGAAUGCAGGCCAAAGCGGGUGGUAAACUCCAUCCAAGGC